GCAAACUUGGUCAUUUAGAGGAAGUAAAAGUCGUAACAAGGUCUCCGUAGGUGAACCUGCGGAGGGAUCAUUAACGAAUGACCAAACCUCAUAAACUCGUGGAACCUUGAAAAUGUGCUUCGGCGCCUGUCAUUGGCGUCGCCCUUAUGCAUUAUGGCCUUGUCUUUUGUCUGAGUGGAUUUGACUUGAAUAAUCAAAACUUUCAACAACGGAUCUCUUGGCUCUCUAGAGGAAGUAAAAGUCGUAACAAGGUCUCCGUAGGUGAACCUGCGGAGGGAUCAUUAACGAAUGACCAAACCUCAUAAACUCGUGGAACCUUGAAAAUGUGCUUCGGCGCCUGUCAUUGGCGUCGCCCUUAUGCAUUAUGGCCUUGUCUUUUGUCUGAGUGGAUUUGACUUGAAUAAUCAAAACUUUCAACAACGGAUCUCUUGGCUCUCGCAUCGAUGAAGAACGCAGC
rnacentral:misc_RNA from 1 species